UACGUAGGCAGCGAGCGUUGUUCGGAGUUACUGGGCGUAAAGCGUGCGUAGGCGGUUUUGUAAGUUUGGUGUGAAAUCUCCCGGCUCAACUGGGAGGGUGCGCCGAAAACUGCAAGGCUGGAGUGUGGGAGAGGUAGGCGGAAUUCCUGGUGUAGCGGUGAAAUUCGUAGAUAUUGGGAAGAACACCGACGGCGAAGGCAGCCGUCUGGACCGACACUGACGCUGAGGCGCGAAAGCGUGGGGAGCGAACAGG
rnacentral:rRNA from 1 species